UACGUAGGGGGCUAGCGUUGUCCGGAUUUAUUGGGCGUAAAGAGCGUGUAGGCGGCCAGAUAGUCUGCUGUGAAAGCUCCUGGCUUAACCGGGAGUGGUCGGUGGAAACUGCUCGUCUGGAGGACGGUAGAGGUAGGUAGAAUUCCCGGUGUAGUGGUGAAAUGCGUAGAGAUCGGGAGGAAUACCUGUGGCGAAGGCGGCCUACUGGGCCGGACCUGACGCUGAGACGCGAAGGCGUGGGAGCGAACGGGAUAGAUACCCUG
rnacentral:rRNA from 1 species